UACAGAGGGUGCGAGCGUUAAUCGGAAUUACUGGGCGUAAAGGGCGCGUAGGUGGUGACGUGUGAGUGAUGUGAAAGCCCCGGGCUUAACCUGGGAAGUGCAUCGCUAACUGCGUUACUGGAGUAUAUCAGAGGGUGGCGGAAUUUCCGGUGUAGCGGUGAAAUGCGUAGAGAUCGGAAGGAACGUCGGUGGCGAAGGCGGCCACCUGGGAUAAUACUGACACUGAGGCGCGAAAGCGUGGGGAGCGAACAGG
rnacentral:rRNA from 1 species